CUCUGGAAUUGCCAAUCUGCUGUGCAGAAAACAGACUUUAUUUCAGCCCUGGCAACCUUCUAUUCACUGCACUUCCUGGCGUUGAUGGAGACCUGGAUCACCCCCAUGAACUUGGCGACUCCAACAGCCCUGUCCUCUGCCUUUCACUUCUCCCAUUCUCCAUGGCAGUCUGGCAGGAGUGGUGGCACAGGCUGAGAUUGAUGAGUUAGACACUCUACUGAGUCUCUUCUCCAUUGAUGAAACCCUGCUCAUAGUCUUGGGUGACUUCAACCUGUCAUCAGACAAGUUGCAGUCAUCCUGCCUGUUACCACUGCUAUCAUCCUUCAACCUCGCCCUCAACCAGGCUCCUCCGAUGCACAGAGCAGGCAAUGCUUUGGACCUGAUAUUCAACAGACCUGCCUCCACACUGGAUGUGACAGCCCGCACGAUAUUCCUCACCUACCCCCUGGCUGAUGGGUGUCCUGCGCAGCAACUGACAAGAAAUAAGGAAGGCUGAGAGAAGAUGAAGGAAAUCACAGCUCGACUUGGAUUUUCACUCCUACCAAUCUCUUCUUUCCAAGUUUUCACUCAAAGUUACUGCUGCAAAGUCAUCUUUCUACAGAGGGAAACUGGAAGCGUCAGCAUCUGAUCCACGCAAGCUCUUCAACAUUUUCUCCUCUCUUCUCAACCCGCCUCCUCCCCCUCCAUCCUGUUCUCUCACCCCUGAGGAUUUUCUCACCUUCUUUGAGGAGAAGGUUGAUAGAAUCCACCAGUCUUUUCCCUCUGUCCCCACUCCUUCCACUAGACCACCUCCUCUUGUUCUCAAUCCCUUAAACUGUUUUUCUUCUCUUUCUACAGAUGCUGUCCUUCAACUGAUCAAAUCCAGUAACCCAACCACCUGCCCACUGGAUCCCAUCCCAUCUGCAUUAUUUCAGUCAAUUUCCAAGGACCUACUGCCCUUCAUCACUUUUCUCAUCAACAAGUUCUUGGCAAACUUUCAAGACUGCAAGAGUACUUCCCAUCCUGAAGAAACCUGCUUGACAGCUCUGAUGUCAACAACUACAGACUGGUAUCACUUCUUUUCUUUCAAAAACGUGCAGUCUAUAAUCAACUUUCUCUCUUUCUCACACAGAACCAGCUCCAGGACCCCAAGCAGUCUGGCUUCAAUCCAGCGCACUCAACAGAAACUGCCCUCAUAGCAGUGACUGAGAAGCUCCAAUCAGCAAGAUCAGGCAAACUUUCAUCUGUACUGAUCCUUCCUGAUCUUUCAGCAGCUUUUGACACGGUCAACCAUACGAUCCUUCUGGAUAUCCUCACCAACCUUGGAAUCACUGGUUAUGCGUGGAAGUGGUUCAAGUCCUAUCUGGAGGAUCGCUCUUAUCAGGUUUCCAGUUGCAUCUCGGCAUGUCUGUUUGACAUCUCUUCAUGGAUGCCAGCUCACCCCCUGAAGCUCAGUCCUAGCAAGACUGAGCUGAUAUUCAUCCCUCCAACUACAGGUCCUCAUCAUAAUCUUGC